GUGACAAUGAAAAGUUCAAGAAAAGUCAAAUCUAACAACAAUAUAUGUAUUCAACACUGUCCAUUGUAAUUUCUUUCUUUUCUUUUUCUUUUUUUCAACUAAAGGGUGUGCUUUCGGUAAGCGUCAUCUUUCUCCUACGAAGAAGCCGACUUUUUGGUAGUGUCGGCGGGGAGUUCCCCUUUUGUUUUAUUUAUUUUGUUAUUUUAAUAUUGCAAGAAAUG
rnacentral:misc_RNA from 1 species